ensembl:lncRNA
CUAGAAGGGGAUAUUCUGUUUAGAAGUUGUUGCAUGAAAGAGAAUCACGGCAGCCAUUUGGCCGGGAUGGAGUGAAAGUGAUUUUCCUGGCAGCCGUGUGUCCUCAAAACGAUUCACUCCAACCAUGCCAACCUCUGGGACUUUUUGUGUUGGGGACAGGCGGGAGAAGAGACCGAGUAACUGAAUUACGCCCCAAGUUCGUACUUUCUUUUUGUCGGUAAAGCGAAGGCGUGCAUUUGCCUCUCGCAUCCAGCGGAGGGCAGUUGAGCUCCACGAGAAGGAACGAAGCGGAAUUACACCGCGGGGCGAAACUCCCGAGGAGGCGACGGAGGAUGGAAAUUAACCGUUCUUUGCCUGCCUGCGUGAAGAUCGCAUAGGAAUACCUGCAGAAUUAAAAAGGAGGGAAUGGAAGGCCGCUCGGUUUGAACUGCUUUGUUAGCAGACAAUGAGAGAUCUAAAAGUUUUGUUCAGCAGUGGAGGAAAAAGUCUUAUACGUUCGUAUAUGCAAGUUUCAGGGGUUUCUGUUUUAUAUGUUAAUCAGAAUUUCCAGUAUGUGGGCAUUAAUGAGGGAAGUUCCUGAUUUUCCGUUGGCUUCCUGACCUCAGCAGUAUUUAGGUUUUAAUUUGGCCCUCAUAAUUUCAGCGUGAAGAACGAUUUUUAAAGGCAAACGUUCUUUUCUUGUUGUCUCAGCUGUACCAGAAAGAAUAAAGGCAGAUCUCAGGAGCUGAGCCUGCAAGGCAAAUCUGGCCAGUGCUGAAACUGGGACCAGUUUGGAAAAGUUCCUCUGCAGGAAAACUUUUAAGCAAACAUUCCAAUCAGAAACAGAACCCUUACCACGUUCCUCUUAAAAUCUGCUCUCCUCCAGUUUAUAGCACGGACCCUUGGGCUACGGCAGUCUAGAAAAACCCGAAAUAAAAACCACACUGUUUUCUGGGUCUGAUCAUGCAGCGCUCCUUCAUGACAAAACCCAAGGAAUACAAGGUUUAGGCCUUCCUGACACACGUUGUUCUUCUUUUAGAAGGAGACACUCCAGCGUGUCUCUGUUGCAAAUGCAUCAUUUUAGGUGCGUUCGCUUCGAAUGGAAUCACAGGACAUCAGUGACUUGCUAGCUGAGAUCGAGAAGCACUCUACAGUGUCCCAUAUGCCGUGACUCUGCUGGAUGAACAGUGUGGUCACAGUGACUUUUGGAGCGAUGGUCACCGCUGGAAGUAAAGGAAAUUUUGGUUCCCAAAACCAGAAGGAAGGAAGUAGAGGAAGGAGCAGCAUGAGAGCUACCACAAGAAUGUGAUAAGAAAGGAGAGAACUGGAAAUGUGAGAGGUGCUGCCAAGAAGAAAGUGAUUGCACUUAGCGUGGAUGCUAUGGAGGAGGGAAUAUGAAAAGCAAGAAGGUAAAGAAAGGACUUCUGUGGAAUCUGCAUGAACUGAAGCAUGACAAAGGCUGAAGUUAUAAAAUAAGUGAUAGGAGGAAUGGAAGAGAGGAGCAAGUUAAAGUCCAGGUCCUGAGUGACAAUAGACACUCUCAGCAUGGAGCUCUGAUGCUUAAAACACGGGAGAAAAGUAGGAUGCUGGUACCACAGAAUUAGUGUGCUCCAAACUUUGGGCUGUACCUCCUGGCCAGGGAUGAAAUCUGCCUCCAGGCCCAUGCUCCCCAAGCACCUUCGUACUCAGCACGUUGCCCUGCUUAUCCCCAGACACACCGAGAGCCUGGGCAAGGGAAGUCCUCCGGGAUGAAACAUGGGGAGCUCCUGCUGAUGAGCCUGUAGGACCUUACAGCUCCUUGUGUGUCUGCUUGCUGUGCCUUGGCUGCAUAGGAACUGCUUACCUGAUCUCCAAGGGUUGAAGUCAGGAAGGAAUUCUUCCUCUCCAUCUGAUCACAAAGGCUGCUUCUUUCAUCUGCUGCAAUUCAAGGCUUGGUCUCCCUCCUGGAUGUGUUCACAAUCACCCUCCCUGCUGUUGCUGGGACCCGAUAUGUCGGCACGGCUCUUGACCUCUCCUCAUGCAAACCUUCCCUGCCUGGCAAAUAGGGAAUUUUGCCCUCCUUAAUGGGAGCUGCACUGUCUGAUGGCUGCCUGAUGAAGUAGGAGCUCAACAGGCCACCUCUGCACCAAACAAUCCCAUACAUCAGAGGCCAUCCCUUUGAAUUCAACAGCUUUUCUGGUGCGAAGAGAGGAUAUUGAAAACCCAGCCUUAAAUCACACUUUUCAGAGGUCUUUGGGGUAACAGAGAACAGCAAGCCACUUGUGAUCCACAAAGGAAAAUGGCAGCACAAGCAACAGGAUUGAACUUCUGCAGUAGUGGUGAUGGUGUGCCACCUGGCUGUGGAAUCAUGCGCAAGGCUGCAAGGGUCUGUGUUUCCUAUGGCACAAGAAGACUACCAGCUGAGGCAACAGGCUAGAGAUUCCUCCAGUACUGUUUCACAGAAUCAUAGAAUAUCCUGCGUUGGAAAGGACCCACAAAAGUCAUAGAGUCCAGAUCCUGGAGGGGACUCUUUGAGCUUUCCACUUUCGGCUUUGUGUCGUUGGCCAAGGAGCUGCCUUUCCUGCAGUUAACAGCAUCAGGGUUGAACUCUCUCCUGAGAAAGUCAGUCUGUCUGUAUGGAAGGAGCAAGACAAGCACUCAGACACAAGUCCCAGCUUGGCAGCUGCAGCCCCUGUGAUUCAAAAUACCAACACCACCACCUGGAAAUCCAUCUCAGAUGCCGCUCCUUCUUCAAGCAGAGUUUCCCACCUGUCUCAAACCAGGGGUUUUAGACAAUCAUGGAACUACCUGUGAAUAAUGCUGUGGUUCUGCUUCCUCCAGUGUGUCUUCAUAGGCCUGAUGUCAGCUUCUUUCUUGUGGAGACAAAGGUAUUUCUGGCUCUGUGAUCCCAUGGGUAGGACUGCAAAGCGAUUCAUGGUGACACUUGUGGAUGUCGGCUUAUGUGUUGUGUUGCCUGUUUGUGCCUCCUUAUUUGCUUGUAGGUUGUGUGAUUUUAGCGGUUGGUCGUGAGUGCAGGCUGCACUUGUUGGUUUGUUACUCUGGAGUUAUGUGUGUGGGCUGAACUGUUGGCAUUAAUUAUUUUUAAUAGUGAGUCAGACACUGAAUUACAGGAUCUUUUCCACGGAUAGCAGAACAAACAAAGAAACAAAUGGCCCUCCUCUCCCACCCCCAACAUAAGUCACAUUUUGUCUCCUCUGACCUCAACCAGCCCCUUAAAUUUUGUAUCAAACAUUAGAAAGAAAGAGGUCAAAGUAAGAACCCUGUUGUAAAAAUACAACACAGCCAACCCGUAUAUGAACUAUGGGAACUUGUCAUCUUAUCAUCCUAAUUGAAGUCAUUCUGCAAUGUAUGACAGUCCAUCAUAUAUUCUGCCAGUCAGUGUGUCAUACAUGAUGUGUAACGAGAGAGCUCAUAAACCCAGAGGGGAAGCCCCUUCUCUUUUAUUACUUUAUUUGAUCAUUUUCAUAAAAAUUCCCCUUGCACAAAACAGAGGGCUGUGUUUAUUAGCCACAUUAAAGCUUUGUCCAUUCAUUUGACACUGUGAUUUACACAGAUUUACCCACAGAAAAAAAUCCCAUUAUUUCCAGCCUGGAGAGGUGUCUUUUUUUAAUAUUUUUGUUGUGUGAUGAAAUUUCUGUAUUUAAUGCCACAGGUGACGGCAAAGAAAGAGGAGGUUGUUGUCAGAAGCUCAGAAGUAAACAAAAGGUUUCUUUAGGUAUAAUUGACUCAGAGAAAGAAAACAUUCCCAGUAAACACAGAAAUAUAAAUAAAUAAAGAUGCUCUUCCCAAGAAUUGAACCGUCUCAGCUGAACUUUUUUUUUUCCUAUGUGCCUUCAUUAAAAACAGCAGAAUUUGGCAAAAAUAAAAAAAUAAAAAAUAAAAAAUCCCUCUGUGUUCAACUCAUGAAUGUUUCUAGAAAAUAUCAGCUUUCAUACGCAAAUAUUCUUGAAGUGAAAUUGGUGGCUUCCUUUGAACACAGCUAGCGCCUCAAAUCCCAUCUGCUUUUCCUACAACACGCCCACUCAUUAUCUAGCUUAUUUGGCUUUAUUUUAUUUUUUUUUUUUAAUGAACACAAAUUAAGCUAUUUAAUCAAAUAUGUACAUGAUUACAUGGCAUUUUUGCAUAAGAGUUAUACACCCACGGAAAUCAUUAAUCACAGAUAACAACACUACGUUAAAAUUAGACAUUUUGCUUUCUUUCUUUGUGUGUAUGUGCGUGUGCUUUUUAACACAAUAUCCUGCAUAGCUCUAAUUUCACCUCCACUCUCAUUUGAAUAAAGCAGGAUUGUUUUACAUCAAAUUAUUCAUUUGUCUGUAGCUCUGAUAAUUAGUAUUUAUGUUUAGGCUUGAUCUCAGAGGAAUAAUAACAGAGGACUUGAAAAUAAAACUGGAAUGGAUCAGGUCUUUUUUUUUUGUUUCUUCCCCAUUUUGCUUCCACAGAAUGUCACCAUGAAUGUCCAUUGGCAAACUGGAUAAGAAGGAGUGUCACAGUGCAGGACAACCUAGAAAAUGACAGCUACAGCACAAGGUUCCCUGACAAUGUAUGACAGCAUGUGACAGAAAAAUAUUUUGAUUUUGGUUUGUUUUUUGUUUUGGUUUUUUUUUGACCAUUUGAUGCUAUUUCAGAUAUAUCUGAAGCCCUGGCAGCAUCUGCUAAAUCUACCGAACUGUUUUAGUGGAGGUUUUUAUACUUGCAUAAUUGAACCAGAGGGUUUGGGGGUUGUGUUCAUGUGCGUGUAGGGGAAUCCAAACAGGAAAGCUGGGAAAUGAUCUAAACCCUUUGAGGUUAACGUGCCAUGAAAGAGCAUCAACGACCGAAGAGGACAUUAUUAAAAAGCAGCCAACCCAGCUCAAAAAGAACCACUGUGUGAAGCAAGAGCCUGCAGAACAACACCCAGGGCUGUUUGUGAUCCCACUGGGAUAUGUAUUUCAUCCCCUGUCUUCAUAUCUCCAGAUUUCCUCUGAACUGCUUCUGAGACGCAUUCUCGAAAAAGAAAAACACCAGCAACUACUGAAUGCCUCUUAUCAACCUUUUCCCCGCAAUCUGUUUCGUAUUCGUCUCACACCCUUGUUCUCGCAGUGUCUUGGGGAAAUGCUCGGAUCAAAGAUAAGAGAGAACAAGGAAAGGAAUGAAGCAAGAGGCAAACAACAAAACAAAACCACCCCCACCCCCCCCCCAAACUUUCUGACUAAACUUCUCUGCGAACCGUGUGCACGAUUACAGCACUGUUAAAACUGCCUUCUUCUUCGCCAGUACUUAAUUCCUGCUUUUAAAAUCAGGCUCCCUUUGAUCUUGAGGAUUGAAAUGAUCUGGAAAUGAAACAGCCAUUGCUUUGCAGAAAAUCUGGAUAGGGUCCCAGGCAUGGCUUUUACCUGGAAGGAUUCCAAAAUAGGAUGAAAUCUCUCCGGUUUCAGAACAAAUUGCAAGAUUUUUCUCUAUGUCUAGGCCAACUGUGGAACUCCAGCCCUGACGUCUGCUAGUUCCCAAAGCGCAGAUGUAAUAACCUCUAAGGUAAACUGUGGGCCCUAUUCCUCCAUUUUCUCCCCUCUGCCUCUCCUUCAAGGAUCAAAUGUUUGGAGAAUUUUAUUAAAACAAAGACUUAAAUUUCUGAGCAAACUUAAGUUGAGGAGACAGUUGCUUAUAACCUGGGCUAGGUUCAGCCACAGGAGGGUUGGGCAGGACAGAGGACCAGGAGCAUCUGUAACAUCUGGAUCUUGUUGCAUGCGAAGAAAUAUCUGCCUGGCUUUGCACAACCUGAUCCCAGAGCCAAAAGGGCUGAGAAAUGUGGUUAAGAGACGAUGAAGCUCACUUUGCCCUACCAAAUAAGUCCCACUGAGAAAGUAAGCACAUCAAUAUUUCUUUGAGUGUUUUUCUUCUAGUUCAUAUAUUUCCAUAUGCUGCAUGAAUAUUUCUUUUAUUGGGGAUUGCAAGUCCAUCUGGUAGUUGUAUCGGGAAGGCUUGAGCUGACAGAUCCCUACUCUGUGCUCUGUUACAGAGAUUUGGACUGCUCUUAUAGGAAUCAUAGAAUCACAGAAUCAUUAAGGUUGGGAAGACCAAUAAGAUCCUCUAGUCCAACCAUCAACCCAUGCCUGUGACUGCUCUAGACCAUGUCUCUCAGUGCCACAUGUCCGCAGUUCUUGAACACCUCCAGGGACGGUGACUCCACCACCUCCCUGGGCAGCCUGUGCCAAUGCAUCUCUUUCUGAGAAGUUUUUCCUAACAUCCAACCUGAGAACAGUUGUUGAUCAGGUUAUUGUAUCUGAAGGACAGCAGUCAGCAAGAAAGAAACCUCUCUCUCUGUAUGUAGUUCUCAGUGCACCAACUCUGACCUGGGAAUCAUAAAGGAGAAAGGAUGCCUGAACAUCAGUACUAAGCAGAAAAUGUGCUGAGAUGUCACAGUUUGCCAAGACAACGAGAAUCACUUUCCCUUGUAUGUAUUAUUACAGAACAGGGGAAUAAUUAUCUGCUUUCAUACAAGCUUUUUCCUUCUGCAUGAUUAACUUCACUGAUAUCAAUAGAGAGUGUGAUGACUCUGAAAUGACAGCUCCUGGUAGCACGUUCUGGGAUUAGCACAAACAGGUUGUCACUGUACCCCUGUUAGGAACAGUCAGUCUUGUCAUGCUGAGUGCAGGACAGAAAAGCCAGGCUGGGACCAGGCAUCUGCCACCACCCUGUCUGUCUUCAUGGGUGGCUCUCAGUUUGGGAUAUAGGGCUGGCUACUUCAAUGGGGCACAAUGGCCUUCAUGCAGACCCGCAGGAUGGCAGCGGAGAAGCUUCCAGAUCCAAAUCACCUGGUCAUCCUUGUGCUAAGGGAUGAGUUGCAGCCUAAAAUCUGCAUUCUUCAGCUCAUGGAAUGGUUGAAUGGAGAGGAAGGUCAGAGAUGCGAGAGAGCAAGUCGAGGUAUUAGUAUGAAACAACCAACCUAUCCUUUUACUAAAGUUGUAAAAGAAUCUGUCAUAGGUCUCCUGUGGAAAUUAAUCAAUGUAUGGAAAACUGGAUAACAACUAUGGGGACAACAGGAAUGUGCCUAUAAAUUAAAAGAAGCUAUUGUGAGCAUGCAGAGCUAUCUGGGGAAGGCACUGGGGCAGGAUAGCAGUGCUCAGUGGAGCUAGGACAGGGUCCACAUAAAGGGAUUCUUCAGUAAAGUCCAUACUUUGUCAAUGUCAAGAUACACGGGAACUGUAAAACAAAGCAAACUGUGUGCAUGGAAUGAAAAUAGAAAUUUAGUCCAUCAUCGUGUGCCUUUGAAAACGUCAUAAUCCUUUUAAAAAGAUGACAAAAUAUCUGUGUAUUUUUUAAGAAACGUAGCAGGUGAAAGGAUUCAUUCUCAAAAAUCCAUGAAGUGUACAGUGAUGAGUUAUUGAGGAUUGGGGGGGAGGGUGUUUUUGUAAUUCUGUAGGCAUCUCAGUCCUCUGGUGAAAUGAUGUAUGGGGCAAUCGUCUGGUAGGGGCUGAUGGGAUGUAAAUGAAACUAAUUAAGGAAAUGUCAAACAUAAUUAAUAAAACAGGUUUAAGUUGCAAAAGCACUGUCAGCUGAAUGAAUGGGGAAGAGUGUGGCAUUCCCAUUGUUGUGGGGCUUGCUUGCUUAUUUAUAUAUUUAUUUAUUUAUUCCUCGCUCACCCCCUUGGCCUCCCACCAGCUCUGCAGUUGCAUCAUUCAAUUAGAUCUCAGAAAGCUCUUGCUAGACGCUUGCAUUUCCUCCUUGCCCCCCUUCUGAGCAGGGGUCCCAUAGAAUAGGAGGAAUAUAAAUUUGCCCUGUCGAUUUGCAGCCUGGGAAGAAGAAGAAAAAAAUUAAUUGCUAACUCCUCAUCUUCCCUAAGUACUACAGGACAUUAACAUAACCAAUUUGCUUGAACUCCUCACUGGCUGCUUAAUAGAGCAUCUGACCAGCUGAUAAGACCUGGGUGCUGCUGCCUAUGAUACCUUGUUAUUAGCAUUUUCAUAAUAUUCAGAUAUUACAGCCCCAUGAUUCACUAGCCUCCAUUCAUUAUUGAUAAGUACAAAAAAUAAAUAAAAAGGGUUUAUAAAUUGCAAAAGGGGGUGAGCGACCUAUAAUUAUGGCAAGCAAAUUAGGGUGCAUGGUAGAGUCAGUUACAUUUGCCUAGGAGUAAUGAUGCUCAAGAACUUUUUCUCCCCAGGGACCAGAAAAAUAAUGGAUUCCCUGGCAGCUGCAGAUGGGCUAGGAAAGGCUGUCAUCCAGGACACUGUUUAUAUAAGUUAGGCUGAGCAUAUGGCUCUGCGUCCUGCCUGUAGCCAUCUCCAGAUAAUGCCAUUUCAAUGACAUUAAAUAAAUACAUAAAUAAAAAUAACUGGGCAGUGGUGGUGGUGGUGAAGGGAUACGAGGAGGAGAAAAAAACAAACAGGUUCAAGAGGGUCCACAGCAAAGUUUCUACUGAGAGCAUUCCCAGCAGCUCAGCAAUCCCAUAGGGGUGUUACCCAUAAAGGCAGAGUCUGCCCAGCUGAAUGACUGCAGAGAAAAAGAUGAAAUGCUAUUUCUGCUAAAGCAAAACCUCUUCCAUGUUCCAGUCUAAGACAGAUGUAUUUAUACACCAAAGCUUUGUGCCUGAGAUGAUAGAAAACAUGGUUGCAAGUAGGAGCUACUAGAAAUAACCACUGGAUACUUUAUAAUUUAGUCCCUGCGGUUUUAUUUCCAUUAAUCCAAUCAAAGGCCUUUUUUCUUUACUAAUGAAACUGGAAUGAAACACAAAAGGGAGGCUGACCUGUUAGCAGGUGACUGUUUCUUAUAAGUUAUUCAUUAAAAACACCCCAACGCUCUGGUGCUGAAGGAGACCGUACCUAUUUCUGUAUAAAUUAAACAUAAGUGACUUGGUUGCAAGAAAAAAAAAUGUUAUUUCUCUUGGCUUCCGAACACCGUAGAGCACUUGGAGGAAACUGCACCCUUGCAGACAUUUGCAGAGAAUUAUAGACUGAAGUUACAUUCCAACUGCUCCUA